CAGUAAUACAGGAUGAGGCAGGGAUUCUUGCUAAUAUCCAAAUAUCCAGGCCUAUAGACAUUGACCCUUAGAACAUCUGCAGGUUUCCCUUUAAGGGAAGAAUUCUCUGACCAGUCUUUGUUCAUGGAGUUCCAGAAGGGCCGUGGUCAUCAAGCAGCCAGGUGGCACAAAACCACACAGCGAUCUCAAUAGUUCAGACAUGUGCUGGUGCAAGGAGAUGUAGAUGAAAUCAUCAUUCCCAGAACUGAUUUUCUUUGGGCUCCCAAUGUCACAGGGAGCUGUACUAUUACCCUGGUGGAUACCUACAGACAUCCAGUUUCCUUCAAAAGAGCUACCCUCUUUGAAGCCUACAAGACUAAGGGCAGACUUCUUGCAAAUCUCAGGUAAGAAUCAGCAUCCAGUUGCAAUUCCAAUCCAUGUACAUGAUGUUGGGAGUGUGGGUAUAAUUUAGGGUUAGGGUUCUUCGUUUGGUGAGUGUCACGGAUAGUGCUGAAGUACAGGUACUUGAAAAUGACGUCUGGGCAUUGGGGUUUGUGUCACAAUUGAGUUUAGGGUUCGGGAUGGCACGUGGAUCAAGUACUGGUUAUUGGAGUGUGAGUAGGAUUGUUAGAUAUAGGAUUAGUGUUCAGUAAAGUAUAGUGUUUUCUUACAUGUGCCGGAACAUUGCAGUGUGUCUGUGAUGGGUAGUG
rnacentral:lncRNA from 1 species